ensembl:snoRNA
CUUGAGGGCCAGCCCAGUGAUGCUUCUUCUAUAGACCCACAUCACUGGAAACAUCUCAAAGUAACUAUAUGGUUUCCUUUUCUCAAAGAACUACAUGUUAGAUCUCUGGGAAAGAACUCCAAGACAGAG